rnacentral:rRNA from 1 species
UACGUAGGGGGCGAGCGUUGUCCGGAUUCAUUGGGCGUAAAGCGCGCGUAGGCGGCCCCGCAAGUCGGCCGUGAAAUCUCCGGGCUCAACUCGGAGGGGUCGGGCGAGACUGCGAGGCUCGAGGUGGGCAGAGGGCAGUGGAAUUCCGGGUGUAGUGGUGGAAUGCGUAGAGAUCCGGAGGAACACCAGUGGCGAAGGCGGCUGCCUGGGCCUGGCCUGACGCUGAGGCGCGAAAGCCAGGGGAGCGAACGGG